rnacentral:tRNA from 1 species
AAUAAAGUGCCUGAAUAAAGGGCUAUCUUGAUAGGGUAGAUCAUACAAGGAUAUUGUCUUUAUUA